rnacentral:rRNA from 1 species
UACGUAGGGCGCAAGCGUUGUCCGGAAUUAUUGGGCGUAAAGAGCUCGUAGGCGGCUUGUUGCGUCGACCGUGAAAACCCGUGGCUCAACUGCGGGCUUGCGGUCGAUACGGGCGGGCUAGAGUUCGGUAGGGGAGACUGGAAUUCCUGGUGUAGCGGUGAAAUGCGCAGAUAUCAGGAGGAACACCGGUGGCGAAGGCGGGUCUCUGGGCCGAUACUGACGCUGAGGAGCGAAAGCGUGGGGAGCGAACAGG